rnacentral:piRNA from 2 species
UCUGAGGGUCCAGGGUUCAUGUCCCUG